CCGCCCUCGACCUGGCCUGGUCGGUCCUGGCCCGGCGUAGGUGACGAUGGCGGGGACCGCGAGGCGCCGGACACCCGAGGCCACGAGCAGCGUCGCCCCUCGCUUUUUCGCGCCCCUCCAGCCCUGCAGUCCUUCCUCUAAGUCCGUCUGCCCCUCACCGAUUGAAAGUGGCCCCGAGAAUAUUGGAUGACCUACUGAUGUGUUGACAGAGUGAUCUGGUGUCAGGACUGUAAAAUACGCCUAUGAAAACUGGGGGAGAGGAAUAAAACAAGCUGGCAGAACGUUUUUCAUCGUUGAAGCUGCGUGAUGCGAGCAUAUGUGCUCAUCAUACAGUCUCUUUACUUGUGUAUCUGAAAUUUUCCAUAAUAAAAAGUUU
rnacentral:lncRNA from 1 species